AUACCGGCAGAAAAACGGUUCCUUCAGUUCAUACUGAAUUGGGAAAGUCCGUUUUUUCUUACUGUGCACCUGAAACCUGGAUCACUCUCCAAAACCAUCUGAAACUUACCAUACAUUUA